rnacentral:rRNA from 1 species
GACGAACGCUGGCGGCGUGCCUAACACAUGCAAGUCGAACGAAGUAAGUUGCUUCACCAAGUGUUGAAUAGCUACCCCCCAAGCGCAUUUGCCAAAGGGUAAGCAAAAAGUACUAUCAAUUAAAUAAAAUGGUGAAACAAAAGAAUAGCGAAGAAGAAGCAAAUGCGCUUCACGCUAAUUCCAAGUACCAACACAAAACAAAUUCAAUGUUUGGUGAAGCAACUUGCUUAGUGGCGGACGGGUGAGUAACGCGUGAACAAUCUGCCCCGUACAAAGGGAUAGCCUCGGGAAACCGGGAUUAAAACCAUAUAACACUUAACUGCCGCAUGGUAGUGAAGUCAAAUCGAUUAAGAGGUAUGGGAUGAGUUCGCGUCUGAUUAGCUAGUUGGUGAGGUAAGGGCGUCACCAAGGCGACGAUCAGUAGCCGGCCUGAGAGGGUGAACGGCCACACUGGAACUGAGACACGGUCCAGACUCCUACGGAGGCAGCAGUGGGGAAUAGUUGCACAAUGGA